UCCACUCCUGCAUGGGACACCUGAUCUUACACCUUCUAAGCUCUGCAGGGAGGAAGUGCUGGGUGGAAGAUUUUUUGUUUCAUGAGAGUCCUGUGCUUUCUUCAUGAACUGAAGUAAACUAUUAGAUCACUUCAAAGACUGUAAUUUGAAAGAAGAAAAAGAAACAGGAUAUAUGUGUGGCAUUACAACAAUAUAAGCAGAAUAUGAGUGGAAGCAAUGUGAUGGACAUUUUUAAAGACUGUAUAUUUUCUUGGUUAACACUCUGAGUGAACACAACGGAAU